GACGAACGCUGGCGGCGUGCUUAACACAUGCAAGUCGAACGGAAAGGCCCUGCUUUUGUGGGGUGCUCGAGUGGCGAACGGGUGAGUAACACGUGAGUAACCUGCCCUUGACUUUGUGAUAACUUCAGGAAACUGGGGCUAAUACCGGAUAGGAGCUCCUGCUGCAUGGUGGGGGUUGGAAAGUUUCGGCGGUUGGGGAUGGACUCGCGGCUUAUCAGCUUGUUGGUGGGGUAGUGGCUUACCAAGGCUUUGACGGGUAGCCGGCCUGAGAGGGUGACCGGCCACAUUGGGACUGAGAUACGGCCCAGACUCCUACGGGAGGCAGCAGUGGGGAAUAUUGCACAAUGGGCGGAAGCCUGAUGCAGCAACGCCGCGUGCGGGAUGCCGGCUUUCGGGUUGUAAACCGCUUUCGCCUGUGACGAAGCGUGAGUGACGGUAAUGGGUAAAGAAGCACCGGCUAACUACGUG
rnacentral:rRNA from 1 species